ensembl:lncRNA
UGAAGGCAAUUAAACACUAAAUAUUACUUACAAGCUAAAUGAUAUAUGAAUAUAUUACUCACAAAUACAAAUUAAAUAGUUUUCUUUUCAGAUAGUAGCCAAGUAAAGGCUUCUAAAAAUAGCCUACUACAGAUAUUUUUAUGAAGUAAUUAAUGUAAAAAUAAUCUUCACUCUAUACAUUAAAUAUAGAUGAUUCUUAUUUAAGUUAAUAAGUGAUUCAGUCAAGAGCAGUUUUCCUUUCUUUUGUUUUUGGGGGCAAUGACAACAAUACUCCACUACAACAGCAGCUCCCUCUCGACCGACGAAAACCUAGAGCUGCAAAAGUGAAAACGCAGAAUAAGACCCCUUUUAAAUACACUGAGGUGUUAAAGUAAUGUGAUGAUCAUGUUUACACUUUACUCACAACGCAAUCCUCAAGUAUGGCAGUCUUUUUUGUUCUGUUGGUUUUUUCAACUUCUGCUCUAUUGAAGCGCUUGGAGCAAUUGUUAUGAUGUUCCCGUAGUUUGACCAAUCUUGACUGAAACCUCUCCUGCUGACAUAUAAGGACAUAUUUAAAUUACAACAAGUAUGAGAUCUAACAAAAACACUACAGAAGUGAACAAAAAGUAAACAUAAAAAUAUAUAAAAAUCAUUAAAAGCACUUCCAGAAUAUAAGAGAAAUUAAUGCUUAAUCGAAUUGUUCAAAAUAAUUUCUUAAACCAAAUGUUUUAAAACUUGUCGAAUAACAUUUGGUUGACUAAGGACAAUAUCUAAAUGAUUUUCAAAGAGAGGUAAUUAUAGAGAGCAUACAAAGUAUACAACAAUACCUGUCUUUUUCUUGAUGAACGCUGCCUCACAGGUGAGGAUGAGGAUGAUGUAGCAGUCACAGGGGCAGGUGAUGAACUUUUCCUCACAGGUGAGGAUGAGGAUGAGGAUGAUGUAGCAGUAACAGGGGCAGGUGAUGAACGUUUCCUCACAGGUGAGGAUGAGGAUGAUGUAGCAGUCACAGGGGCAGGUGAUGAACUUUUCCUCACAGGUGAGGAUGAGGAUGAUGUAGCAGUCACAGGGGCAGGUGAUGAACGUUUCCUCACAGUUGAGGAUGAGGAUGAUGUAGCAGUCACAGGGGCAGGUGAUGAACUUUUCCUCACAGAUGAGGAUGAGGAUGAUGUAGCAGUAACAGGGGCAGGUGAUGAACUUUUCCUCACAGGUGAGGAUGAGGAUGAGGAUGAUGUAGCAGUCACAGGAGCAGGUGAUGAACGCUGCACAGAAGACCAAAGACACAAAAAAAAUACCACAGAUGUAAACAAAAAGUAAAUAUAAAUGCUUGCUUAAUUCAAAGUGCAUUGAUUUAGUUUAAGGGCAAGACAAAUGCAUUUGGAACAAAUAAUGUUUAA